rnacentral:rRNA from 1 species
UGCAACAUAACGUUAAUGCACCAGAUCCCAUUAGAACUCUGUAGUUAAGCACGCUCAGGCUAGAGUAGUAUUGGGAUGGGUGACCGCUCGGGAAGUCCUAGUGUUUUAC